rnacentral:snoRNA from 1 species
AAUCGGCUUGAUGAUUUAAAGGAGAAAAAGGAAUGUUGAAGCUGGCCUCACAGCUUUACAGUCUGCUAUGUAGCAUGUAGGCUAAUUUCAAAAAAAA